AUGGCUGAGGAGGAGGUCCAGGGCCGCCUGUGGCUGGAGAGCCCCGCUGGGGGAGCUCCUCCCAUCUUCCUGCCUUCGAACCGGCAGGCUCUGGUCCUGGGCCGGGGUCCCCUCACCCGUGUUACGGACCGGAAGUGCUCCAGAAACCAAGUGGAGCUGGUUGCAGACCCUGAGACCCGGACAGUGGCUGUGAAACAGCUGGGCGUUAACCCUUCAACUGCUGGAACCCAGCAGUUGAAACCAGGGUUGGAGGGCUCUCUGGGGGUGGGGGACACACUAUAUUUGGUCAAUGGCCUCCACCCACUGACCCUGCGCUGGAAAGAGACCCAUACAUCAGGAUCCCAGCCAGAUACUCCGCCUGGCACCUCUCCAGUAGCUUCAGAUGAAGAGCAGGAGAAGGAUGCUAAGCAGCAGAAAAAGCGCUUAAGGAAGUCAUCCCCUGGCUGGGAGAGCUUGGAGAAGCUGCUAGUGUUCACAGCACCUGGGGUGAAGCCUCGGGGCAAGGUAGCUGCCUUUGAUUUGGAUGGGACCCUCAUCACCACCCGCUCUGGGAAGGUGUUUCCCACUGGCCCCAGUGACUGGAGGGUCUUGUACCUAGAGAUUCCACGCAAGCUGAAGGAGUUGGAAGCAGAAGGCUACAAGCUGGUGAUCUUCACCAACCAGAUGGGCAUUGGACGAGGGAAACUGCCAGCAGAGGAGUUCAAGGCCAAGGUGGAGGCUGUGGUAGAGAAGCUGGGGGUUCCCUUUCAGGUGCUGGUGGCUACACAUGCAGGCCUGUAUCGGAAGCCGGUGACUGGCAUGUGGGACCAUCUGCAGGAGCAGGCCAACGAGGGCGUGCCCAUCUCUAUGGGGGACAGCAUCUUCGUGGGAGAUGCAGCAGGCCGCCCAGCCAACUGGGCCCCUGGCCGUAAGAAGAAAGACUUUUCCUGCGCUGACCGAUUGUUUGCGCUCAACCUUGGCCUGCCCUUCGCCACCCCGGAGGAGUUCUUCCUUAAGCAGCCCACAGCAGCCUUUGUCCUCCCAGCAUUUGACCCGAGGACUGUCUCCUGCUCAGGGCCUCUCUGCCUCCCAGAGUCCAGCUCCCUCCUGAGCUCUGACCCAGAGGUGGUUGUCGCCGUGGGAUUCCCUGGGGCUGGGAAGUCCACCUUCCUCAAGAAACAUCUCGUGUCAGCUGGGUACGUCCACGUGAACAGGGAUACAAUAGGCUCCUGGCAGCGCUGUGUGAGCACCUGUGAGGCAGCUCUGAAGCAGAGGAAACGCGUGGUGAUCGACAACACAAAUCCAGACAUCCCGACCAGGGCCAGGUAUGUCCAGUGUGCCAGGGAUGCAGGUGUUCCCUGCCGUUGUUUCCUCUUCACUGCCACAUUGGAGCAGGCUCGCCACAACAACCGGUUCCGGGAGAUGACUGGCUCCUCUCACACACCAGUGUCAGAUGUCGUCAUAUUCGGCUACAGGUAAGUCCAGGGGAAAGAAACCAUGAGCACUACCUGCGAGGUCCUGGCACCAGGUACUGGAAACAGAGAACCAACACACGGCUUCAUGCUUCUGACACAAAGGCCCCAGGAGCUGAGGCCACCAAACACCCUUACCCACUUAUUACAGCUGGGGAAGAUCCCAUGUCAGGCCAGGGACACCCUGCUUCUUCCUAACACCCCAGGCAAGUCUGAGGAGAUCCAUCUGCACUGAAUAGGAUCAGCACUCACCAGUCUCCGCAGGGGCCUCAUCUGUGACUCCUGGAGGGCCCGGUCUUGUUGAGGGGCACUACCCCCCCAUCUGCAGAGGAAGUCAGGGGGAGAGUCAGCAGUAGGGAGGGUGGGGGUGGAAGGCAGGUAUUGGGGAUGGCCUCACCCCUCGCUGCUGCUGCUCCUGCUCCAGAUUCCGCUGAAGGACCUGCUGCUGGUUGGCUAUGACACGCCGGAUACCGUUGACGAAGUUGCUCUGGUCGUGGGGGAUGAGGCCAAUGAAGAUCUUCUUCUCCGAGGAGUACAGGAGCAUGAGCACGCGGAUCUCACAUGAGGCUUUAUAGGAAAAGUGCACGCAGCCAGCCUGGCAGGGUAGGGGACGUGUCAGAGGUGGUUGUUCCUCACACUCUUCCCGCAUACUACCCUUAGCCCCAAGGUGGUGCCACUGAGUACACUGCCAGCCCAGUGCUGCCCGCUGCCCUGCCUUGCCGCCCCAUCUGGAGGACAAGGAGACCAAGGCCAGGAGCAACAAUUGGACCAGAACCCACAGGCUUCUGCGGAAUGACCCAGCAGUUUGUGCAAAACAAGUGCUGCUGAAGCCCAAGAGGUUGCCGCACAGGAGGCCUCCAAAGAGCCCACCAGGACAGACAAGUGGCACUAAGCACAGUGCCUCCACCUCAUGCAAACCCCACCUCCUGCUGGGGGACAUGAAGCAAAGCUGCCGCAGAUGGCGCCAAAGCCCCCACCGUGAUCAGGCGUCCAGGACCACCUGUCUCAGGCAGGCCUAGGACACUGAUAUGGCUGUCCCUGAUGGAGCUCAUUGGGUACUACCUAGGAAGUCACCCCUCCCACCUUAUAGAAAUAAAACCAAGGUGGGGGUGGGGACUCAUAUAAGUUCCACCAAAACCAGAAAGAACUGAGCAGCCUCAGGCCUGGGCACUGCCUCAGGGGACUGUGGUGUAAGGGUCCCAGAGGAAAUUGUGCCUGUGCCCACCAGAGCCAUUGGAGGGGAGGGGCCUAGGAGAAAAUGGGGCCUUGACAGAUUUCCCAGAUUUCAGGGCUAUCCUUCAUUACAGACUAAUGGAGAGGUAAAUAACAAUGGUUCUUAUAGACUGAUGUCAUCCAGGCACAGCAAGUACCCAGAAGGAGACAUCCUUGGUUAAGAGUUCAGAAGCACAGAAGGCUACCUUUCCUCACCUCUGAUGGGGAAAUAGGUCCAGAGAAAGGAAAAGACUCAGCUAAAACCACAGACAAGACAAUCCCAAGUGCAUAGGACCUGGGCUGGAAGCAGACCGACCUCCUGUCUGGGAGGCACCCUCCAGCAAGGGACAUAAGCUCAGAGCUCCAGUUUUCCCAUUGGAAAACCCUGCGGGGGGCAAGGGUGAGGAAGACCACAGGUGGGACCUAGGAUACUGACUAGGUGCUUUAGUGAUGUGCAGUGACACCAGGUCCUGAGACAAAGUAAACUAGGACGUGGCAUUAGAGGGGUAGGUCUGGAACCCAUACCAGCUGCCUGUCUGUGCAGCAGAAUCAGGAGAGCUGAGAGAAUGAGGGUAUCUGUCUGGAGCAGCACAGGUGCCUGUGCAGGACACAUUUCCACUCUUGGGCACAGCCAUUCUGGCUGGCUCUGUGGAAAGUUACACUGAUCCACUCUUGUCUCCAAACCCAAGAGCUGCCGCCGCCACCACUUCCUACCCCAGCUGGACUCCCCCUGAGGCUCCAAGCAACAUGUUGCUCGGUGGCCUCUGCCUGUGCAAGCCCCACUCACAAAGCCGUUGUCCAUGAUCCGGCACAGGCUCUUCAGCGUCUCCAUGUCCUUGGUGAAGUGAAACUGCACCAGGCGGGAGUUCCGAAACAGUGGCACCAAAGUGGUCUGUGGGGAAACCAAGGGACUGACUCCAUGGUCCCCUCCCUAGGGUCACCCACUUCCCACACCAGUCAAUGGCAAUCUGUUAAUGCUGUACCAACCUGCCCUUCAGCUCAGAAAAAUGUCACCUCUGCAAAUGCUGGGAACCUGAAAGUCCUGCCCUCCUCCUACUCCUUACUCACCUCUGCCCUGCCUCUCAUGGCAGCCUGCACCAAGUCUGGACCUCACUCAACUAAAGCCACAGCAGUCCACAUCAACCCUGUCUCCACGCCCCUCCUCCACCUGCUGGACAGGUUGCACAGCCCAAGGCCUCUGCCACUGCUUCCUUCCAUCUUUAGCUGGUCUCGCUGCUCCAGCUGACAACUUCAGAGCCACCUCCUCAGGGAAGCCCCCCACAGCCCUGAAGUCACAUAUGCACACAACUUGCCAUCCAACUCACCAGGAGCUGCUGUGGGAUGAGCUGCAUGUACAGCUUCCUCGGCCACUGCUCAGUCCUCCUGUGGGCACAAGGAUGGGGUCAGGAAUACGUCUUGCUAGAAAGUAGCCUCUGCUCCCAAAUCUAACACUCACAAGAUCUCUCCUUGGUUCACGUAGACAUGGGAUGGCAACCACCUCUUGGAUCGACUGUUGGGCUCAGGCCUAGGCUUUGGGGACAGAGGAAGAGAGGAGCCUCAGGGGUGGGACACUAGAUGCCAGCAGCCGCUGAAGCCCAGAGACAGUGAGAUACAUUGGGUCCAGGUCCCCAGCCUGCCAGGACUCACCUCCUGCCACUCCAUAACACCACUCCAUGCCAGGAAUUUGUUGUUGACAAUUUGGACAGGGCCUGAGUGGACUCCACCAGGUCCCACCACCUGUGGGGGAAAAAGGCAGGGUGGGCCAUGCACCAGGAGAGGCUCUGCUAUAGAGGAGGCUCCCUGGACCACUGUCCUUGGGCUCCUGAGCCUUCUUCCUGCCCUGUCUAUCCUCCCACCUCCGUCUCUGCCUUGAUCACAGCCCCAGGGAAACCUCAGGUGGCUUUGCCCCUUGACUGCUGAAUACCUCCUUAUGACUCCCAAGGGUCCAGAGACGAGUCUCAUCCCCUCACCUGGUGUAUGAAGCCCACAGAACCUAUAAUUUGUUGUAAAACCUGGUACACUUCUCAGAAAUGGUAGCACUAUCAGUAAUUGACAGGCAUGAACCAGGACACAUGUCACCCUCCAGAGCCUUUUAGCCUCACACCACCUUCCCUGAGAUAAGUAUGCCAGACCUAAUGUUGCCUCCCUGUUCCCGAGGCUCUUCUGCUGCCAGCACCCACCAUCCAUUGUCCCUCCAACCCAAGCCUGACAAGCCAUUUGUCCCAUUGAACCUCGAUGGAAAUCAGCCACUGACUCCUUGGAGCUCCCCCUAACGCUCCUUGCUCCAGCUAUCAUACCAUGCUCUGCCCAUGUCCACCAGCUAGGGGCCAGGCUGCACUGGACUGGCACACCUGACCUGUUUGCGAGUAGUGAUGACCUGCCGUAUGGCAUUGACGAAGCCGCUCUGGUCAUAGGGGAUGAGGCCCAUGAAGAUCUUCUUCUUGGACGAGUACAGGAGCAUGAGCACGCGCACCUCGCAGGGGGAGAUGUGGGGAAAAAGCAUGCAGCCCGCCUGGGGGAGAGGCCAGCAGGUCAGGAACCCCGGACACUGCUGAGAAGCCACUCGCCCUCCACACUACCCGGAGACCGAGAGGAGCACAAGUCGUCAGAGUCCAGGCCGUGGUCUUCCUGCAGGGCUUGCAGUUACAGUGUGCCUUUCUUUCUAAGAACAUGUGCUGUGUCUCAGCAUCUCCCCUACCCUGCAGUGACUCAGGCUGGGGUGGCAUCUUGGACCCACACUGUGGUGUGAAGAUCCUGAGAGGCUCCAUCUCUGCAGAAACUAGAUUUGCUGCCUAAACCUGAAUGGCUUCCAGGAAGGGCUUGAGCCCACCUGAUGACAGCAACUGGCCUGUGGUUAAGAACACACACAUCAGGCCAGGCUGCGGGUGCAAACCCAGACAUGCUACCUCCUUGCUGUGUGCUAAGGCAAGCCACCUCUUGUUUUGCAACCUCAGUUUCCCCAUUGUAACACAGUUAAUGACAGUGCAGUACACAUGAAUGCUCAUUAUGUGAGCUUCUAGUGCCUUGUCGAUGGCAAUUAGGAGGACAAGGCUACCUGCGCAACUACUUCUAUUUUGGGGGAGGUGGGGGCUUAGGGGCUUCCACCCAGGGCUUUGCACAUGCUAAGUAAACACUACUUUUUUAUUUGGGGA